rnacentral:rRNA from 1 species
GACGAACGCUGGCGGCGUGCCUAAUACAUGCAAGUCGAACGGAUUGCCUUCGGGCAGUUAGUGGCGGACGGGUGAGUAACACGUGAGUGACCUGCCCUACAGUGGGGAAUAACUCUGCGAAAGCAGAGCUAAUACCGCAUUCGCUUACGCUUUCAUUGGUGUAAGUAAAGCUCCAUGCGCUGUAGGAGGGGCUUGCGGCCGAUUAGCUAGUCGGUGGGGUAAUGGCCUACCGAGGCCACGAUCGGUAGCUGGUCUGAGAGGAUGACCAGCCACACUGGGACUGAGACACGGCCCAGACUCCUACGGGAGGCAGCAGUAAGGAAUAUUCCACAAUGGUCGCAAGACU